rnacentral:lncRNA from 1 species
GCGAUGACUUCUGUGUCACAAGAACUUCUCCACCAGCCCUUCAGACAUUGCAUUGAACUGGAGGACAAACAGCCUGUUCCUUGUGUUCCCUUUUGGGAUCUAGACUUCUGCUUCCUUGGUACUAUUGGCUACAGAAAUAGCCUGAAAUUAACAGGGAUAGGAUGACAGGCCUCCACUUGGGUGUUAAGGAAUGGCCUCAACACAGAAGCAGCAGCCUCCGAAGGCUAAGCCAGGAGCCCUUUCCUGAGAGUUGGACAAUGUGAGCUCUGGGGAGCUGGCACUCCUGGCCAGCCUCCUCUGAUCACAAGCUCUGCUAUGGACUGUCAUUUUUCAGGUCGCUUCUGAGGCCCAGCUUGCUUUGAAGGCAAGUGUGGGAAUUGAUUCUUAUUAGUUUAAUAUAGCUAUAGUUAAUGGCUUAUAGAUUUUUAUAUACUCUGGCCCAGCUCGGCAUGUCUAUUAAGUCUCUAUUAAGGUUGACAGAAGACAGAGCGGGUCAUAGGACUUGAGACAAAUGCAUGGCUUCCCUGCAAGCCAGACUGAGAAAUGGCUCCUUAACAAGAGCUCUGAGAACCUCCUAAAGAUGUGAGAGAGAGGAAAGGGAACUGAGCUUGUGAGGAUAGUAUCAGGCUAGCACAAUGCCCUGCUGGGAUGAACUGAAAACAGAGGACCAUCUGCCCUCAGGAGUUUCUGCUCCUACCCAAAUGGUGAUGCGUGGCAAUAAAGAGUCCACCUAGAAACUGUCA